rnacentral:rRNA from 1 species
GAGUUUGAUCCUGGCUCAGGAUGAAUGCUGGCGGCGUGCCUAACACAUGCAAGUCGAGUGGGUUUAGACCCACGGCAAACGGGUGAGUAACACGUAGCAAACGUACCCCAAACACGGGCAUAACUCGCCGAAAGGCGGGAUAAUUCCCGAUAUGCUCACGAGUUGAAAUACUCGGGAGGAAAGCUUUAACGGUUUGGGAGCGGGCUGCGUCCUAUCUAGCUAGUUGGUGAGGUAAUGGCUCACCAAGGCGAUGACGGGUAGGGGAUCUGAGAGGAUGUUCCCCCCACAGUGGCACUGAGAUACGGGCCACACUCCUACGGGAGGCAGCAGUUGGGAAUCGUUCGCAAUGGGAGGAAACUCUGACGACGCGACGCCGCGUGGAGGAUUGAAGGCCUUC